GACGAACGCUGGCGGCGUGCCUAACACAUGCAAGUCGAACGGAAAGGCCCUGCUUUUGCGGGGUGCCCGUGUGGCCAACGGGCGCGUAACACGUAGGUACCCUGCCCUUACCUUUGGGAUAACUUCGGGAAACUGUGGCUAAUACCAGCUAGGAGCUCCUGAUGUUUGGUGUGGCAUGAAAAGUUUAGGCGAUUGGGGAUGGAAUCACGGGUUGACAGAUCUGUGGUGGGGUAGUGGCUUACUAAGGUUUUGGCGGACAGCCGGCCUGAGAGGGUGACCGGCCACAGUGGGACUGGGGUGGCGGCCGGAGUGCAACGGGGGGCAGGAGUGGGGAAUAGUGCGAGAUGGGCGGAGGCCGGAUGGAGCAACGCCGGGUGGGGGAUGACGGUCUUCGGUUUGGAAACCGUGUUCGCCUGGGACGAAGCGUGAGUGACGGUAGUGUGUAAGGAAGCACCGGCUAACUACGUG
rnacentral:rRNA from 1 species